rnacentral:lncRNA from 11 species
CUGGAUUGAGAGUGAUGUGCCAUGCUCUGCAUCAUGCGUUUUCCUCCUUGCAGGCCGGGGACUCUCCACAUCAAACAUCCUUGCCAUUAUCAUUGGGAGCAUAGGUGGCGUAGGGGUCCUGUGUGUGGUGCUUUUCCUCAUGUACCGUACUUCUCCCGAAGGAGUUCCGUCAUUUUCUUCAGUCCUCACUCUCAGGAGAGGUAAGGCAGACCAUCGCCUGAGCGGAAAAGAUGACAGCUUUCCAUCUCCAGUGGACGGAUAAAGCCUGAAGAACGGAACACAGCAAAAUAACACCAAGAACCAUCAAGUCAUGAAAAUGGACGGAAAAGUCAGAUUAUUGAAAUCAUAUUGAUCUCGUCCAGGUUCCAGUUGGGACCGUUUGAGAAAUACUCCUCCAAUGUUUCAUUCGCUGCACUGAUGGACCACGCAAUGACAAGGCCUUGCCCACAAAUAAAAUGAAGUAAACACUCCAA